rnacentral:rRNA from 1 species
UACGGAGGGUGCAAGCGUUAUCCGGAUUCACUGGGUUUAAAGGGUGCGUAGGAGGGCAGGUAAGUCAGUGGUGAAAUCUCCGGGCUUAACUCGGAAACUGCCGUUGAUACUAUCUGUCUUGAAUAUUGUGGAGGUGAGCGGAAUAUGUCAUGUAGCGGUGAAAUGCUUAGAUAUGACAUAGAACACCAAUUGCGAAGGCAGCUCGCUACACGAAUAUUGACUCUGAGGCGCGACAGCGUGGGGAGCAAACAGG